rnacentral:rRNA from 1 species
AGAGUUUGAUCCUGGCUCAGGAUGAACGCUAGCGGCGGGCUUAACACAUGCAAGUCGAGGGGCAGCAUGAAAUUUAUUUAUUUAGAUUUUGAUGGCGACCGGCGGACGGGUGCGUAACACGUAUGUAACCUACCUUUUUCUAGAAAAUAGCCUGAGGAAACUCGGAUUAAUGUUCUAUAAUACAGUAUUUUCGCAUGAAAAUAUUAUUAAAGCAGAAAUGCGGAAAAAGAUGGGCAUGCGCCCGAUUAGUUAGUUGGUGGGGUAAAAGCCUACCAAGACGAUGAUCGGUAGGGGGCCUGAGAGGGUGAUCCCCCACACUGGUACUGAGAUACGGACCAGACUCCUACGGGAGGCAGCAGUGAGGAAUAUUGGUCAAUGGAGGAAACUCUGAACCAGCCACGCCGCGUGCAGGAAGAAUGCCUUAUGGGUUGUAAACUGCUUUUGUUUAGGAAUAAAAAUUUCUACGUGAUAGAAAUUCUGAAGGUACUAGACGAAUAAGUGUCGGCAAACUCCGUGCCAGCAGCCGCGGUAAUACGGAGGACACAAGCGUUAUCCGGAUUUAUUGGGUUUAAAGAGUGCGUAGGCGGUUUAUUAAGUCAGUAGUGAAAUGUUACAGCUUAACUGUUAAAAUGGCUAAUGAUACUGAUAGACUUGAGUUAGAUUGGAGUAACUGGAAUGUGUGGUGUAGCGGUGAAAUGCAUAGAGAUCACACAGAACACCGAUCGCGAAAGCAGGUUACUAAAUUUAUACUGACGCUGAGGCACGAAAGCGUGGGGAGCAAACAGGAUUAGAUACCCUGGUAGUCCACGCCGUAAACGAUGAUCACUAGUCGUUGGAUUUUAUUAUUCAGUGGCUAAGCGAAAGUGAUAAGUGAUCCACCUGGGGAGUACGACCGCAAGGUUGAAACUCAAAGGAAUUGACGGGGGCCCGCACAAGCGGUGGAGCAUGUGGUUUAAUUCGAUGAUACGCGAGGAACCUUACCAAGGUUUAAAUGUACUACGAAUAAGCUAGAAAUAGUUUAGUCUUCGGACGGAGUACAAGAUGCUGCAUGGUUGUCGUCAGCUCGUGCCGUGAGGUGUUGGGUUAAGUCCCUCAACGAGCGCAACCCUCAUUGUUAGUUGCCAACGAAUAAUGUCGGGGACUCUAGCAAGACUGCCGACGUAAGUCGAGAGGAAGGUGGGGACGACGUCAAAUCAUCACGGCUCUUAUAUCUUGGGCUACACACGUGCUACAAUGGUCGGUACAAAGGGUUGCUACUGAGCAAUCAGAAGCUAAUCUCUAAAAACCGAUCUCAGUUCGGAUUGGAGUCUGCAACUCGACUCUAUGAAGUUGGAAUCGCUAGUAAUCGCAUAUCAGCCAUGAUGCGGUGAAUACGUUCCCGGGCCUUGUACACACCGCCCGUCAAGCCAUGGAAGUCGGGGGGACCUGAAAUCGGUGACCAUAAAAGGAACUGAUUAAGGUAAAAUCGAUAACUGGGGCUAAGUCGUAACAAGGUAGCCGUACCGGAAGGUGUGGCUGGAACAUCU